rnacentral:rRNA from 1 species
AGAGUUUGAUCAUGGCUCAGAGCGAACGCUGGCGGCAGGCCUAACACAUGCAAGUCGAGCGCCCCGCAAGGGGAGCGGCAGACGGGAGAGUAACACGUGGGAACGUGCCCUUCAGUUCGGAACAACCCAGGGAAACUUGGGCUAAUACCGGAUACGUCCGUAAGGAGAAAGAUUUAUCGCUGAAGGAUCGGCCCGCGUCUGAUUAGCUAGUUGGUGAGGUAACGGCUCACCAAGGCGACGAUCAGUAGCUGGUCUGAGAGGAUGAUCAGCCUCACUGGGACUGAGACACGGCCCAGACUCCUACGGGAGGCAGCAGUGGGGAAUAUUGGACAAUGGGCGCAAGCCUGAUCCAGCCAUGCCGCGUGGAUGAUGAAGGCCCUAGGGUUGUAAAGUCCUUUCGGCGGGGAAGAUAAUGACGGUACCCGCAGAAGAAGCCCCGGCUAACUUCGUGCCAGCAGCCGCGGUAAUACGAAGGGGGCUAGCGUUGCUCGGAAUCACUGGGCGUAAAGCGCACGUAGGCGGCUUUUUAAGUCAGGGGUGAAAUCCUGGAGCUCAACUCCAGAACUGCCCUUGAUACUGAGAAGCUUGAGUCCGGGAGAGGUGAGUGGAACUGCGAGUGUAGAGGUGAAAUUCGUAGAUAUUCGCAAGAACACCAGUGGCGAAGGCGGCUCACUGGCCCGGUACUGACGCUGAGAUGCGAAAGCGUGGGGAGCAAACAGGAUUAGAUACCCUGGUAGUCCACGCCUUAAACGAUGGAUGCUAGCCGUUGUCGGGUUUACUCGUCAGUGGCGCAGCUAACGCAUUAAGCAUCCCGCCUGGGGAGUACGGUCGCAAGAUUAAAACUCAAAGGAAUUGACGGGGCCCGCACAGCGGUGGAGCAUGUGUUCAUUCGAAGCAACGCGAGAACCUUUACCAGCUCUUGACAUGUUCCCGUAUGGAGUA